AUUGAACGCUGGCGGCAUGCCUUACUCAUGCAAGUCGAACGGUAACAGGUCUUCGGAUGCUGACGAGUGGCGAACGGGUGAGUAAUACAUCGGAACGUGCCCGAUCGUGGGGGAUAACGAGGCGAAAGCUUUGCUAAUACCGCAUACGAUCUACGGAUGAAAGCGGGGGAUCUUCGGACCUCGCGCGGACGGAGCGGCCGAUGGCAGAUUAGGUAGUUGGUGGGAUAAAAGCUUACCAAGCCGACGAUCUGUAGCUGGUCUGAGAGGAUGAUCAGCCACACUGGGACUGAGACACGGCCCAGACUCCUACGGGAGGCAGCAGUGGGGAAUUUUGGACAAUGGGCGAAAGCCUGAUCCAGCCAUGCCGCGUGCAGGAUGAAGGCCUUCGGGUUGUAAACUGCUUUUGUACGGAACGAAAAGCCUCUUUCUAAUAAAGAGGGGUCAUGACGGUACCGUAAGAAUAAGCACCGGCUAACUACGUG
rnacentral:rRNA from 1 species